rnacentral:sRNA from 1 species
UCCGGCACGGAUGCCGGAAACGCUGUAAGUAGCCGAUGUUUCGGCAGGCGUAAGCCUGCCGAAACUCGUGUUAAAAAUCGUACACGGAUGUACGAUUUUCAAACCAUU